rnacentral:rRNA from 1 species
GGUUAAGCGACUAAGCGUACACGGUGGAUGCCCUGGCAGUCAGAGGCGAUGAAGGACGUGCUAAUCUGCGAUAAGCGUCGGUAAGGUGAUAUGAACCGUUAUAACCGGCGAUUUCCGAAUGGGGAAACCCAGUGUGAUUCGUCACACUAUCAUUAACUGAAUCCAUAGGUUAAUGAGGCGAACCGGGGGAACUGAAACAUCUAAGUACCCCGAGGAAAAGAAAUCAACCGAGAUUCCCCCAGUAGCGGCGAGCGAACGGGGAGCAGCCCAGAGCCUGAAUCAGUGUGUGUGUUAGUGGAAGCGUCUGGAAAGGCGCGCGAUACAGGGUGACAGCCCCGUACACAAAAAUGCACAUGCUGUGAGCUCGAUGAGUAGGGCGGGACACGUGGUAUCCUGUCUGAAUAUGGGGGGACCAUCCUCCAAGGCUAAAUACU